rnacentral:rRNA from 1 species
UACGUAGGGGGCAAGCGUUGUCCGGAUUUAUUGGGCGUAAAGAGCUCGUAGGCGGCCGGUUGCGUCUGCUGUGAAAUCCCGGGGCUUAACCCCGGGCGUGCAGUGGAUACGGGCUGGCUGGAGGCAGGCAGGGGAGAAUGGAAUUCCCGGUGUAGCGGUGAAAUGCGCAGAUAUCGGGAGGAACACCGGUGGCGAAGGCGGUUCUCUGGGCCUUACCUGACGCUGAGGAGCGAAAGCGUGGGGAGCGAACAGG